CAAAGCUUACUUGCUGCUGUUUACUGUAGAUGUUGCAGUGCCACAGAGGAGCCACCCCAAACUCUUGUGAGACUUCACUAAGCAUGUGGCUAAGUCUCAUGAGGGACUUGGAGGGGGGUGACUAAGGAGUCUUUUGUAGCUGGUCCAGCCUCAUUCUGUGGACAGCCAUUGCUUGGUCUGGUACUCCCAGUGCCAGUGGCCACAGAUUUUCUUGUACGGCUGUUCAGGUGACACCACUCGCUUUCCUCUUUUGUUUGAAGUGUGGUGGCUGCUACACCUCAAACAAAAGAGAAAGGAACCCAAAGUGAUGCUCCACAGCUCGGCAGCACAAGGGGGGCAUGGAACAUGCAUUUGGCCACCCCUGUCAAUCUACUGCCUGAGACAAGUUGCUCAAUGUGCCUCAUGAUAGGAAUAACAAUAGUUUGCAAAGCCUUCACACAGCAGUGAAAUGGGCAAAAUGAAGGCAAUGGAUAGGGGGGUGACUUAAGAAAUCAGUAAUACCUGUCAGAAACCACAAAUGGUAGUAUGCAAAGCUUUUAUGUAGGAAGGAAACGGGCAGCUAAAAGGCAAAGAAUGGGAGUGGACCUGGUAGGCCUCAGAACAGACCCUUCCUAUAGUUUGCAGCUGUAAUUAGUUCAGCACAAGUCACCUGACCUGUCACAGCUGCAUUUGAUUGGCAACUGAAUUACCAAGCCUGAAAUCAGGCCCAGGCCAACCUAACUUGGGUUUUUUUUAAAAAGAGUGUUUCUUCUGUAAACAUGCAGCAAAACAGCAGCAGUAUGAAGGUAAGUGAGAAUAAAUUUCAUUCCAGAGUGUUGCUGAAAUGUUAGUCCACGCCUGCUGGCUUAGGGUUUGUUUUAGGUAUGUGAAAAUAAGUGGUGGAGUCUAACACUUUGUUCAGUUGUCUGAAUCUGGCAUCAUAAGGUAGUGAGUGAAAACAUUAGAAGUAGCUAUAGUUUGCUAACCUGAAAUGACUACUUUUUGUAUGUGUGUAAAAAUCCACUUCUGUUGGUGGGUUCACAGGAAUUAAUGUAAGGAAUCCAUGACAGUUUUGUGGUGUUUUUUCAGGGGUGGGGUGGGGGGACAAUCGCUAUUUCCCCUUUCCUACCAUGGUUACACUGCUGAUCAUUCAUUUUCACUCAAAUGUCUUCAUUUUCUAAUAAGAUUAUCUGGUGUGUGUGGAGGAAGAGGCGAGGGAGUUCAUUGCUUAAUUUGGAGUCUGAAAGCUUUCCUUAAACACAGAUAAGUUCUGAAGAAAUUAGUUUGGUCUUUUGAACAUGGCCUCCAAUAUUUUCAGUAUUGUGUGCUUUUUGAGGGUUAUAGCUAAUUUUACUUUAUUUCUUGCAUUUGGAUUAAUGUUUUAUAAUGAGCUUUGAGCUCUGGCACAAAAUUAAAUAAUGACAACAUGCCUUUUCAUCCCACUCAGCUCCAACUGAGUUUAAAAGAGCUCAUCUCGUGUCCAGGGGAACAUAAAAACUGCUUUUUAAUAGCAUCAGAGCUUGAAAUAGCCAGAUGUGCAAAUGUGAAACAGUCUACAGAGCAGCUUUUAAGCAGGAUCUAUGGUGGCAUUUGGGACAGUGUUCCAUGUCACUCUACUAAAAAUGUGACUCCUCUUGCUGUAAUCUUUGACAGUUCCAUGGUUGUCCUUCAGAGAAAUGUUUAAUGAGUUGUUGUUCUGUGUGUAAUAAUACCACUACAGCACCUAUUCAUGUGAAGCCUCUUUGUGAAAGAUAAGUCAUGCAUCUCCAGCUGUGCUAAGAGCUGUUUUAUAGGGCUGUAUGUAUGUUUGACCUGCAGAGAAAUCAUGUAAGCACUGUAAUUCCUCACUUCAGGGGAACAUGUGGCCUUCCUGAUGUUGUUGGAUUCCCAGCUCCUACCAUCCCCAAACAGCAUGACAGAGAUGAUGGAGGCUGCAGUCCCAGCAAAAUUUAGAGAAUUUAGAGAAUUCCCCCAUCCCUCCCUUACAUGCAGGCAUACAGUAUGGAAAAGAUGUUUCAGUUCCACAGGAGAAUUCUGGAGCCUGUGGCUUUUCAGGUGUUGUUGGACUUCAACUCCUAUCAUCCUCAGUCAGAAUGGCUAAUGGUCAGGAAUCCUGGAAGCUGCAGUUCAACAACAGCAGAAGGGCCACAGGUUCCCCAACCUUGUAGAGAAAUUGUGUCAGAAGUAACUCUGUAACUCCAUGUUACAACCUCUACAGAACCCCCUGAGACCCCCGGGUAAAGGGCGGUAUAUAAAUUCAAUAAACAACAAUAAUACAGAGCAAUUCUAUGUAUGCUCACUUAAAAGUACUUGGCCAACUCCCAGGUGAGUAGAGGCAUGCUACCUUAGACUGCCAAUGUAAACACAGCAAUAGUACCACGCUUGGUGCCAUUUUCAAGACCAACUGGAGAGCUAAAAUCCAAGGAAAGGGUCAACCAGUGCUUUUCAGCUGGGCCACAGCAACCAGCCUAUGUUUAAAAAACAAUAACACCUUAAACUCAGAACACAGUAAUAGCAUUUUCUUAACUUUGAAAACAAGAAAUAUUUUACAACAAUUUUUCUUCUAACAUAUAUAGGUAUAUUUUAGUUGCAGUAUGAUUUAUUAAUAAAGUAGUAUUAUGGGUGGAAUCCAACUUAGUUCUAUUUAAAGUAGACUCAGUGAAUGUAAUGGUUCUUAAGACAUGCACAUUAAUUUCCAAUGGGUUUACUCUGAAUAAGGCUAACAUUGGAUACAACUGGGUUUUUGUGUGUGGAAGUUACUAGGGAUAGGCAACACAGCUUAAAAACAAAGCAAAAACCCACACGCUAGAGGCGUGAUCUUGUACCAGAAAUAGCUCUGCUAACUGCUGUAGCUACAGGAAAUUUAGAACCAUGGAAAAAUGAAAGUGGAAUAAACCAACUGGAAUAAGUUGAUAAGGGAUGGUGCAAUGGUAGGAUACACCAUAUCAGUUUGACAAUCAGGGUGGUAGAAGAUGGCACAGUCUGAAUCCUGCCAAUAGACUUGAGCAGAGCAAUUCAGUGAGGGGAUGGAGAGAAUAUCUGGCAGUAAAGCCACCAUUUUCUGAGCCCCACAGGUUUUACACCAACUAGGCAGAAGCUGGCAGGAAAGAAGCACACUGACUCCUGGACAAAUGGGAAAUCCACUCUGAUAUGCUCUCCUUUUGUCCUCUCCUCUGGAGCAGUGACAACAGAGAGGCAAUGACAGAGGUCCUUUCCAUGGUGGCUGGGAUUCCAAGGGCAUACCUGCCUCUCUACCCAUAAAGAGAGAGGGUCCUAUAGUCUUCUCAGACGCCCUCCCAGGAACCACAAGGUUGUCUACCAAUUCUCCUUUGAGAUGCAUGCAAACAAAAGACAAAAUCCCGUGCGUUUUACAGUGGACACAAUUAUUAUUAUUAUUAUUAUUUAAGCCUGAGAGGCCUUAAGACCUUACAUAUUCAAUUUUUGCAAAGUAUAUUUUUACAACCAGUUUAGAAGCACUUGCUUAACUGCCCUUUGAAUAUAGUGGUGCUAGUUGUUAACUAUAAAAUAUCAUACAGUAGCAAGUCUGUAAAUACAAAGAUACGAAGUAUAUUGGUCUAAUAAUUCCUGCUGAUUGCCUGUGUUGAGAAUCUGUGUAGUAUUCGCUAGGGCACACAGUGUGGUGCAUAUUAAACUGUAAACCUUUGCACAAUCUUUGAGCAACAAGAUACCACUGUAUUACUUACGUACUAGCCACAAUCUGAGAGUAAUGUAAAUAUGCUUUUAGUGCCAUUAAUUAUCUGUGGAAUUUAAACACACACACACCCUUAACUUUGGGUGGCCAAUUUUUAUUAGAAUUAUUGCAAUGUUUUUCAAGUAGCAGUUGUUAUUUGUGACAUCUUAAAUCUACUGCUGCAAAUGUUUUCUAUUACAAUGUCUUUGUUGUACUAUAUAUCCAAUGGCUGAUUUUUUUGCAGUAGCGUGUUUGUCUUGUGGAUAUGGUAAAAACAAGCACUGUAUUCACUAUUGGAGGCUGAACCAUAUGGCAUUUUUUAAUUGUUUUACUGUUUGGAACUGUCUCAAUCCUUCUCCUGCUGAAAUUUUGACAAAUGAUAAUGCAGAACCUUAAUAACUACAGCUUUGAAUGCAACUUAACUUCCAUAAGCAUCAAAAUUCAUGAAGCUAGCACACACUUUUUCCAUAGUAACAUUACUAUGAGCAUAUUUAAGACAAAAUGACUAAUUUCUACCUUUACUCAUGUAUUAUAACGUUCAGUAAAUAUGACUCAGUUUAAUAU